rnacentral:rRNA from 1 species
UACGUAGGGGGCUAGCGUUGUCCGGAAUCAUUGGGCGUAAAGCGCGUGUAGGCGGUCCGGUAAGUCCGCUCUGAAAGUCCAGGGCUCAACCCUGGAAAGCGGGUGGAUACUGCCGGGCUAGAAUCCGGAAGAGGCGAGUGGAAUUCCUGGUGUAGCGGUGAAAUGCGCAGAUAUCAGGAAGAACACCAAUGGCGAAAGCAGCUCUCUGGGACGGUACUGACGCUGAGACGCGAAAGCGUGGGGAGCGAACAGGAUUAGAU